AACCGACAAGCCAAGGCAUCCCUCAUCAUGCUUGUGUCAUGGACAAUUUAGAACGAGCGUAACGCAAGAGUUUUCAAACAUAAGAGUGCUCCACCGACAAUCUUGCUCUCCUCCAUCUCUACUGAGGCCAACCUUUGGAUGGUCGCCGGUGCAAAAAAGUUAGGGUCUUUAAUUUUGCGAGAAUAA
rnacentral:rRNA from 1 species